UGCUCCGCUGGGCUCGGCUAAAGAAGAUUUUGAACUUUGGCCCAUCAUCGUCUUGAUUGCGCCGCUCGCACAGUAGUGGAUAGUGGCUUAGUUUAGUUGCACCGCCGAGGCUAUAUAGUAGCCAGUCGGAGCAUCAUCGUCAUCAUCAUCGGCAGCGGCAGCGUCAGUAGCAGAAGAUUGCAUGUAUGUAUAAGCAGUGGGCGCAUCGCAUUUUGUUCGCGCGCCUAUAAGCGAAAGUUUACGAAGCGUCGGCGGCCAGUGUGCCAGCGCGGGUAAACACACGAGUCUCGGAACUCGCCCGUUGCCAGUUUUCCCAGUGUAUCGAGUUUUAUGGCCGUGCAAUUGCGCCUCACGAUGAAAACUUGAUUAUCCGCCUGUUUAACGAUCGCGCCGAUCAUCGACACUGUCCAGAUAUGGAAUCGACUCGAGCGUCAAUUCGACGGCUCGUAUUUACACACGGCAAUGAGUAACUCGCGCCGAUGACCUUAUAAUCUUGGACUCGUGCGGCCCGACGGACUCAAUGGCUCAAUCGAGCACAAAAACGACUACGAGCAAUGGCAACGGCAACGCCACGACUCAUCUACAUCAUCAACAGGCCCAGCAGCAGCAGCAGCAAAAAGUACGCAAAGUACUGGUGGAGAAUCGUGGCACUGGACACCUGGUUCAGUACAAUCAGCGUAGCAGCAUCAGCAGCAUCAGCACAGUCAGCGCCAACAGUAGCAGUAGCAGCAUCAGCAGCAGCAGCAGCAGCAGCAGUGGUAGUAGCAGCAGCGGUAGCGGCAGUAGGAGUAACAAUAGGGAGAAGGAGGUAGUUGUAGCCGGCAGCGGCGCCACACCACAGCAGCAGCCACAGCAUCGGACGCAGCAGCAGUCGAGAACAGUAGCGAGCGUUAAUAUAAGGAAGAAGCAUCAGGCAACGCAGUCGGAGCGCGCCAACAACAAUCGUACGCGUCGUCCGGUGAAUCUCGACUUGCGACCGGCAAAGUCUAGCAGUCUGCCGAAAUCGGCGUCGCUGCCCUCGGUCAUCCCCCGUCAAGGCAUACUCAAGUUCUCCUCGGCGGACUCGAGCAGCAGUCCCCAGCGCAAACAGCAUCAGCCGCAGCAACAGGCCCCGACCAAGUGCCGAAGCUUCAGCUCUCUUCUGCAGCAACUGCGACACCCUAGUCGCAAGUCGGCCAGCAGCAGCAGCUUACACAUCCGCGAGCCAUCGGCGCCACUGAUAGCGGUCCGGCACUCGUCGUCGAACGAGUCCUCGCCGGUCUCCCCGUACAAGUCCGUGUCGUUCAGUCCCGACACGAGCUUCGCCAGUGCCUCGGAGGCUCGACCCAGCCAGAAGCGCAAGGGCCAGCAGGCCAAGCUCCACUCGUGCGUGGGCUAUCGGCAAGGUGUGCUCGCGGACGACGAUCGACUGCAGUGCAAUCUGCCAUCCUCGUGGGAGGAGGCCCUCGGCGGGCCGAAAGCUCUCCUGAUAGCGGCCCAGGAUGCCGACGACGAUGUCGUGCGACGCAUCGUCAAUCUCGUCGGCAAAGCCGGCCUGGGCGACAUCGACGUCAACGCGAGGGAUCCCAGUGGCAGGACGGCGAUAAGCUACAUGGCUGGCAACGGCAGUGCGCUCGUGUUGGAGGCCUGUCUGGGAUUCCCCGGCGCCGAUGCCAAUCUACCGGACAACGAAGCCAACACGCCGCUGCACUUUGCCGCCCAAGCUGGACAGACCGAGUGCGUGAAUAUACUGCUGCAGCGCUGCCCGAGCAUCGAGGUUGACGCGAGAAACUCACUUGGCUUUACUCCACUGAUGAAAGCAGCGCUUCAAGGCAGGACAAAAUGCGCCAAAAUUCUACUUUUCGCCGGUGCGAAUCCGACGUUACGGGAUCACGGGCGGGGCUUCCGGGCCGAGCAGUGGGCUCGUUUCUGCGGCCGCUACGUCUGCGCCGAGGUCAUCGAGAGGUUCGCCCGCCACAGGCUGCUGGAGAAGAGCAGCUCUUGCCGAUGGGGUAGCGAGCCCGAGCUGGCCGCGCAGAUUCUCCAGGGCAAGUUCAUGGCGAUGCCGCCGCCACCGCAGCCGGUGCAGCAUCACGGCACGGGCGGCAGUCUCAAGUCCAAGUUUCGUCGGGUCUUCCGUACGACUUCGAACUCUGAGCGCAGCAGCGGCGGCGGCGGUGGAGGUCACGGGAGCGGCGGUGGCUUCUCCCUCGUCUCGCAGCUGACGAGCGCCGCCCUGUGCGCCUCCAGCCCCGUACUGCCCAAAUCGUCGGACGUCUCGCCCGUCGUCAAGAGCCUGCUCAGGCCCCUCAGCGUGCCCCAGUUGAGUAUACAUGCUAAUACACUUGGCUUUAGACGUAAUCGCUUGUUGUAACUAUCUUACUGUUAAUCACGAAAAUAUACUUGUUAUAACAAACUCGAGCACGACGCAUGUUUUGCUUGAAAUUACGUCAAAACCAUGAAAAACAAGCCGAAGAAAUGCGCAACACUAACGACAUACAACACACCAUCAGCAACAAAAGCAUCGCAUCUGCUGCUGCUACUUCUUCUCGCCUCUUCUUCUACUUCUUGUAUACUCGUUCUUCAUCAUGUCUAUCACGCUUCGCUUUUAUAAAAGGUGACGCUGGUGACUCAGGACGCCGCCGAGAUCGACAGAAUCGAUGCGCAACUGCAGCAACAGCAGCAGCAGCAACAGUCAACUACAG
rnacentral:misc_RNA from 1 species